UGAGUCGGCCAGGCGGUCGCGUCACCGGGAGACCGGUGCCGAGGAACGUCCGGGCUCCGCAGAGCGAGGUGGUGGGUAACACCCACCCGGGGCGACCCGCGGGACAGUGCCACAGAGAGCAGACCGCCUCGUGGAUCGGCCUCGGCCGGACCACGAGGUAAGGGUGAAACGGUGGUGUAAGAGACCACCAGCGCACCGGGCGACCGGUGCGGCUAGGUAAACCCCACCUGGAGCAAGGCCAGACAGGGAGCGUUCGAGGGCUGCUCGCCCGAGCUCCCGGGUAGGCCGCUGGAGGCGUGCGGCAACGUACGUCGUAGAUGGAUGGCCGCCACCCGCACCGGGGCAACCGGGUGCGGGGACAGAACCCGGCGUACCGGCCGACUCAUCCG
rnacentral:RNase_P_RNA from 1 species